GACGAACGCUGGCGGCGUGCUUAACACAUGCAAGUCGAACGGUGACCCCGGUGCUUGCACCGGGCGAUCAGUGGCGAACGGGUGAGUAACACGUGAGCAACCUGCCCCUGACUCUGGGAUAACUUCGAGAAAUCGGAGCUAAUACCGGAUACGAGACGUACAGGCAUCUGUUGCGUCUGGAAAGAUUUAUCGGUCAGGGAUGGGCUCGCGGCCUAUCAGCUAGUUGGUGAGGUAACGGCUCACCAAGGCGACGACGGGUAGCCGGCCUGAGAGGGCGACCGGCCACACUGGGACUGAGACACGGCCCAGACUCCUACGGGAGGCAGCAGUGGGGAAUAUUGCACAAUGGGCGAAAGCCUGAUGCAGCGACGCCGCGUGGGGGAUGAAGGCCUUCGGGUUGUAAACCCCUUUCAGCAGGGAAGAAGCGAAAGUGACGGUACCUGCAGAAGAAGCGCCGGCUAACUACGUG
rnacentral:rRNA from 1 species